rnacentral:rRNA from 1 species
AACGCUAGCUACAGGCUUAACACAUGCAAGUCGAGGGGCAGCAUGGUCUUAGCUUGCUAAGGCCGAUGGCGACCGGCGCACGGGUGAGUAACACGUAUCCAACCUGCCGUCUACUCUUGGACAGCCUUCUGAAAGGAAGAUUAAUACAAGAUGGCAUCAUGAGUCCGCAUGUUCACAUGAUUAAAGGUAUUCCGGUAGACGAUGGGGAUGCGUUCCAUUAGAUAGUAGGCGGGGUAACGGCCCACCUAGUCUUCGAUGGAUAGGGGUUCUGAGAGGAAGGUCCCCCACAUUGGAACUGAGACACGGUCCAAACUCCUACGGGAGGCAGCAGUGAGGAAUAUUGGUCAAUGGACGAGAGUCUGAACCAGCCAAGUAGCGUGAAGGAUGACUGCCCUAUGGGUUGUAAACUUCUUUUAUAAGGGAAUAAAGUGAGGGACGUGUCCCUUUUUGUAUGUACCUUAUGAAUAAGGAUCGGCUAACUCCGUGCCAGCAGCCGCGGUAAUACGGAGGAUCCAAGCGUUAUCCGGAUUUAUUGGGUUUAAAGGGAGCGUAGGUUGACAUAUAAGUCAGCUGUGAAAGUUUACGGCUCAACCGUGAAAUUGCAGUUGAUACUGUAUGUCUUGAGUGUACAAGAGGUGGGCGGAAUUCGUGGUGUAGCGGUGAAAUGCUUAGAUAUCACGAAGAACUCCGAUUG